GCUGGGGGACAGGUACUUCCUGCCUAACUAGCUGAAGCCUACUGUGGUCAGGGGACCCUGAGGAAGCCAGAGCCAGCUUGAGCCCAGCUCCUUCCUGGAAGCCGGUUCCUGGCAGUGAGAGGAUGGGACACCCAGUGUGCCCUGUGACCCUGUGGCUUUAGACCCCACCCACUUCUGCAGGCUGGUGGGGUCAGGCAGCCAGCUGUAUGAAUGAGGUAUGGUUACUGGGGU
rnacentral:lncRNA from 1 species